rnacentral:tRNA from 1 species
GCCGAGGUAAUCUAGUCCGGUAAGGUGGCGGUCUCGAAAACCGCUGGCCGCAAGGCCUCGGGAGUUCGAAUCUCUCCCUCGGCGCCA